rnacentral:sRNA from 1 species
UAACUCUUUAGGGAUGCCACGUAUGACG